GAUGAACGCUAGCGGCAGGCUUAAUACAUGCAAGUCGUGGGGCAGCAUGAGUAGCAAUACUUGAUGGCGACCGGCAAACGGGUGCGGAACACGUACACAACCUUCCGAUAAGUGGGGAAUAGCCCAGAGAAAUUUGGAUUAAUACCCCGUAACAUAUAGAGUAGGCAUCUUCUUUAUAUUAUAGCUUCGGCGCUUAUUGAUGGGUGUGCGUCUGAUUAGGUAGUUGGCGGGGUAACGGCCCACCAAGCCUCCGAUCAGUAGCUGAUGUGAGAGCAUGAUGGGACACACGGGCACGGAGAAGCGGGCCCGAAUCCUACGGAAGGCAGCAGUAAGGAAUAAUGGACAAUGGGAGUAAGCCUGAUCCAGCCAUGCCGCGUGAAGGAUUAAGGUCCUCUGGACUGUAAACUUCUUUUAUUUGGGACGAAAAAAGGGAAUUCUUUCCCACUUGACGGUACCAAGUGAAUAAGCACCGGCUAACUCCGUGCCAGCCGCCGCCGUAA
rnacentral:rRNA from 1 species